UAAGUGUCCUCUCUAAUGCUAUGCUAUGGCAUACAACCAAUUAACAUAGCCUCGCUUGUGGACAAUAUCAAUAUUGUUUUAUUAUCCUAGUCUAUGAAGUAACUCGCAUUUCAUUCGGCUCGAGAAACGUAAAACUACAAAU
rfam:Musca domestica strain aabys unplaced genomic scaffold Scaffold19000, whole genome shotgun sequence.